rnacentral:rRNA from 1 species
AGAUUGAACGCUGGCGGCAUGCCUUACACAUGCAAGUCGAACGGCAGCACGGGAGCAAUCCUGGUGGCGAGUGGCGAACGGGUGAGUAAUAUAUCGGAACGUGCCCAGUCGUGGGGGAUAACGUAGAGAAAUUUACGCUAAUACCGCAUACGAUCCAAGGAUGAAAGCGGGGGACCGUAAGGCCUCGCGCGACUGGAGCGGCUGAUAUCAGAUUAGCUUGUUGGUGAGGUAAAAGCUCACCAAGGCGACGAUCUGUAGCUGGUUUGAGAGAACGACCAGCCACACUGGGACUGAGACACGGCCCAGACUCCUACGGGAGGCAGCAGUGGGGAAUAUUGGACAAUGGGCGCAAGCCUGAUCCAGCCAUACCGCGUGGGUGAAGAAGGCCUCGGUUGUAAAGCCCUUUGUUGGUAAGAAAAGACAUUCGGUUAAUACCGGUGUUCUGACGGUACCCAAAGAAUAAAGACACCGGCUAACUUACGUGCCAGCAGCCGCGGU